rnacentral:misc_RNA from 1 species
UCCGUGUUAACCACGGCAGUCUCUCUAGAGUGCCCAACUUAAUGCUGGCAACUAAAGACAAGGGUUGCGCUCGUUGCGGGACUUAACCCAACAGGUCACCCCACGAGCUGACGACAGCCAUGCAGCACCUGUCACUUUGUCGUAUUGCUACGAAAGCCGUAUCUCUACGGAUGUCAAAGGAUGUCAAACCCAGGUAAGGUUCUUCGCGUUGCUUCGAAUUAAACCACAUGAUCCACCGCUUGUGCGGGCCCCCGUCAAUUCCUUUGAGUUUUAGUCUUGCGACCGUACUCCCCAGGCGGGGUACUUAUUGCGUUAGCUCCGGCUCCGCAGGGGUCAAGACCCACGAAACCUAGUACCCAUCGUUUACAGCGUGGACUAC